rnacentral:siRNA from 1 species
UCCAGCGACAGCGACCAGCGACA